GUGUCUAGUGCACUGCUGCCCUCCAGGGAUGAAGCUAGUCUCAGGACAUUGCCCGGGCUCCUGUCACGGCGGCUCUGUGGUUGGUCCACGCCUGCUCUGGCCGGCCACAGCUCUGGGCCUUUUUCACUGGCCUUCUUUGAGCUCUCCCUGGACUUUGGAGCAUCAUGAGAUUUUUCCAUGCUUCUGGCUCUGUCGCUCACAAGCUCAACAGUGACUUGGGGUCAGGGUGGUAAAGCAAAUAGGUGCCUUCCUGGGAAUGGGCAGUGGCGGGGGGUCAGGGAGAGGGAGGCUAGAGAAUAGAUAGGACCUCCUGGUAGUGGCAAGAACAGCCCCAGCUCCCGCCUUCCUGGAACCCUUCUGCUGAGGAGCCCCCGGGCUGAGGAGGAGGCCUCAUGGGGGCCAUUUCACAGACCAAGAGGCUGAGUCACUUGCCUAAGGUUGGGCCUCUGGUGAGUGACAGGCUGCAGCUGGACAGGAAAAGAACUCCUGCGGGGAGCCGCUAAUCCCAGAGUAAACAGAUGACCUCGUGGUGCCUUUCUCCCGGAGGCCUGACCUUCACCUGGAAGCAACUCCUCCCCCUCCUGGGUCUUCUGCGGACACUGCCCUGGCAGAGCUGGCUUUGCAUCCUGGCCGCCUCCCUUACUAGCUGUGUGACAGAGGCCAGCAAGUGCACCUUUCUGAGCCUCAGUUUCCUCACUUGGAAAGCAGACGUUCCUGGCAGCCCUGAGGGCUGUGCACACGGGCCAGGCUGAUGGAGUUAACUGCAAACACGCUCAGGAAGUGUAAACAGCCCUCCUCCGGGCCAGGACGACUGGCAGACUCACGGGCAGCUUGCACAAUCCUGUGUGCUGCUAUGACACUCAUUUUUGGGGCAUGGAGUCAUCUCUGCCAUGGGCCUCUCCCUCCUUGCCCUGGAUCGUCUUUGUAACACAGAUGGUACUGCGUGUCAGUAGUCAGUGGGAAGAAAUUCAGACCCCAGCCCCACCCCGAAGCUCAUUCUGAUUUAGAGCUGCCCAAGGACCCGAGGAGGCUGGAGCUGAAAGGGAGCCUGGGAAUUACCUAGCCCAACCUCUUCAUUUUCUAGAUGAAGGACCUGCGACCUAAAGAGGUGGGGACACUAAGGCCAUAAUACAAAGGAGCUGCCUGUGAUGUGUGACGCAACAGCUGGAGCGAGGACCUCUGGAGAUCGGGCAUGUGUGCACAGGAACACGCACGCACAUGAGCUCUCUUAGCCCUGUCAGGAGGGCCAGUGUGCCCUAAUUGGUGUGGUACCUUAGGCCACACCAAUACUGGAACUUGUUUUCCUGAGAGUCUGCGCAGGCCAAGUGCACGGCUAAAGGCCUUCAAGGCUCCUACCCGAAAGAAACCCAGGACUGAUCUGUGAGUAGCAGUUGUAAGCCUCAUUUUACACACGAGGGAAUGGAGGCUCACAGAACCCAGAGGACCUGCCUAAGGAGUGCGGUGGACCCGCUGCCUGAAUCCAGCCCGGCCCAGCCCUCUAUGCUCUUCCACGUGACCUUGAAACAUCCUUAGGUGCUCUGCCCCUCAUUUUCCCAGUCAGUGGGGCUGAUCAAGCGCGAUGAAGUACUAGAAACGCCGGAGACUGCAGGAAGCAGUCUCGCCAGUGGAAAUCCUACAUGCUUGGUAAAAUAACUGAAUGACCUAAUGAGCUUCGAGACUGGGACUGGUGUGUGACAGACUGCGUCCCUCCUACCACAUUUCCUGUGCAUUUCCCUGCCUGUAGCAUGAUGUCUGGGGUGCCUCAGGAUGCCAAAGUGAGUCCCCAGGGAACCUCAUGGAGCUGGGAGAACUUCACACAACACUGUGGCUGCAGAAAGCUGGUGGUGGUUGCAGGAGUCAGUGAGUGGGUGUAGGGGGAGGGGCUUCUAGGGUCAUGGGUGGGAAAGGCCUUGCUCACACCCAAACUCCCAAUCUUCCAGCUCUGUGGCCUUAGGGAGUGGCCCCAGGCUUCCUUUGCCUGAGUAUAAUGAGUUUCAUGUCAGCCCUUCCUUUGGAAGACUUAGUGUCUAUGAAGCACCAUGAGUGUGGUAGGUGUCUUUUAUCAGAGCUUAUGUAGCCCUAAGGGGACUUCAGAAAAGUGAUUGGCCUUCAAUAGCCUUUGCACUGUCAUUGCACCAUUCCUAGUAGAACAGAAUUUCUAUAAGUCUCCCUCACGUGCCUAUCAUACGGCAAACCCACGAGUUGCUAUUGUUUAUCUUCUUUGCAGAUGAAGAGCUUUAUUGCGAUGAUGCCAGUGGCCCCAGGUCGCACAGCCGAUGGUGGCAGACCAAGGCUUCAGCCCAGGCUGGGUCUUUCCUCUCUGCAGGCCACAGGAAGUGCCUCCUUCUCCACACCACAGGUCCCUCUUGCUGGCCAGCAGUUGCCCAGCCUGCCUGCUCUCCUGUGUCUGGGGGCCGUGGCAGGCAGGGCCUCUGCUGACAUGGAUUGCAGGGUACAGCCAUUGACAGACACAUGAGCACCUGCCUCUGAGGGAAGGAGUCUCGAGCCAAGACCUUCUGAUGCCGGAGAGCAGCAGCUCCAGGUUGGGUCAUAGAGUGGCCACACUGGGAACCCAGGCUCAUCAUCAGAAUAAGAAAAGGACGUGCCUUGGGGAACAGAGUAAGGGGGAACAAUGAUGAAUUCGCUCCCACUGCACAUAGGUGCUCUGAGGAUUCAUUAUGGUGCCGUCUCAUUCCGUUCUCUAACAACCUAGUAAGAAAGGUCCUGAUUUGAUCCCUGUUAGCAGAAGAGGAAAUGAGGCACAGAGGCAGUGAUUUUCCCAAGGCCACACAGUUAACAUGGCAGAGGUAGGGUUCAACCCAGGCCUGUGAUAGCUUUGCCACCGCAUUAUUCCCUGCACUGGGAACAUGGCUAUGAAAGGGACUUACCUGCAGGCAGAGCUAGAAGAGACGUCUGGGGAGGGAGGAGCCAUUGUUCCCAUGAGUCAGGGGCCCUCAGCUCCAGGCCAACAGCCGGUCUGGCCCUGGCAGCUUCUGCCACCCACCUGGUAUGGCCAGAGGCCUGAAGGUGCUUCAGCAAGUUUAGUCAGCCCAGGUGAGCGGCAAGCAGGCACCCAUCAGGAGGUCCACCUCCACCCCCUGCACUUCUGAUGAGAAAACAACCUAAGUACGAUGUCUGGCCUCAGUCCUGAGCCUCUGCCCAAGGCGCAUUACUCAGUGUGCCCCUGGACGCAUUGCCCCCUGGGAGGGACCGCCAGUUCGGCUGGCCUGUGGGCCAUGUGUCUAAGCAGGUGUGUGCAGGAGGAGCUGAACAGUACCCAGUCAUUCACAUCCAGCUCUGUGGCCUUAGGGAGUGGCCCCAGGCUUCCUUUGCCUGAGUAUAAUGAGUUGCAUGUCAGCCCUUUCUUUGGAAGGCUUGCCUAUGAAGCACUGUGAGUUUGGCACUAGACCUUAUGGGGACCCAGGCAUUCAGGGACAUCAGGCUGGGCCCGGGGCACCUCCAGCCUUGUACGUUAAAUAAGAAUAAAGUUAUUUGGCUUCACUUUAAAAUUAAAAUUAUGUUCUUUUGAGAAAAUUUGGAAAACAGUGAAAUAAAAGAAAAAUAGUU